rnacentral:rRNA from 1 species
GACGAACGCUGGCGGCGUGCUUAACACAUGCAAGUCGAGCGGUAAGGCCCUUUCGGGGUACGACGAGCGGCGAACGGGUGAGUAACACGUGGGUGGACCUGCCCUCAGCUCUGGGAUAAGCCUGGGAAACGUAGGGUCUAAUAACUGGAUAUGACUCCACGGUGCAUGUCGUGGGGUGGAAAGCCUUGUGCGGCUGAGGAUGGCCCGCGGCUAUCAGCUUGUUGGUGGGGUCAGGCCUACCAAGGCGA